GACGAACGCUGGCGGCGUGCUUAACACAUGCAAGUCGAACGGAAAGGCCCUGCUUUUGUGGGGUGCUCGAGUGGCGAACGGGUGAGUAACACGUGAGUAACCUGCCCUUGACUUUGGGAUAACUUCAGGAAACUGGGGCUAAUACCGGAUAGGAGCUCCUGCUGCAUGGUGGGGGUUGGAAAGUUUCGGCGGUUGGGGAUGGACUCGCGGUUUAUCAGCUUGUUGGUGGGGUAGUGGCUUACCAAGGCUUUGACGGGUAGCCGGCCUGAGAGGGUGACCGGCCACAUUGGGACUGGGAUACGGCCCAGACUCCUACGGGAGGCAGCAGUGGGGAAUAUUGCACAAUGGGCGGAGGCCUGAUGCAGCAACGCCGCGUGCGGGAUGACGGCCUUCGGGUUGUAAACCGCUUUCGCCUGUGACGAAGCGUGAGUGACGGUAAUGGGUAAAGAAGCACCGGCUAACUACGUG
rnacentral:rRNA from 1 species